UACGUAGGGUGCAGGCGUUAAUCGGAAUUACUGGGCGUAAAGGGCGCGUAGGCGGCGUGUCAAGUCAAUUGUGAAAUCUCCGGGCUUAACUCGGAACGGUCAAUUGAUACUGAUGUGCUAGAGUACAGAAGGGGCAACUGGAAUUCUCGGUGUAGCGGUGAAAUGCGUAGAUAAUCGAGAGGAACACCUGCGGCGAAGGCGGGUUGCUGGGCUGAUACUGACGCUGAGGCGCGAAA
rnacentral:rRNA from 1 species